AUUAGUUCAACCAUCCUGACUCCAAAUUUUUGGACCGACGAUCGAACCAGGAGCAUUUUCAUCACAUUUUUCUAUGGAUUUGACAUUUCCCAACUCAAAUCUUACGCCCAGAGUCUACCACACUUCCAUUGAUCAAGGAGACACAUUCCUUCAAGCUAUUCUGAUCCAAAUGGAAAACAACACUUGUCUCGACAAGUCAUAGAAUUAACGAGCGCCCUCGCACAGCAGACAACCUUGGUAAACCAGCUCUUGCAGCGUACCCAGAUGCAACGUGCCCUGACGAGGUGUCCCGAAGUAAGACAAGGGUAGAAAAAGAACCUCUCUAGUAGGGUUCCGGCAAACAGCCACUCGACUAGCCACGCACCGAGCGUUCGGGCAGUGUAAACUCU
rnacentral:lncRNA from 1 species